CCCUCCCACAAAGAUGUGGUUUUUGUUCCCUGUCCCUGGACACAUAAAAUUUGGAAGCAAAGAAAGGCAGAUUUGGAGAAAUCUGGGGCCAGCUUGCUCCCCACAGGCUUGAGAUGAACCAUGGCACAGAG
ensembl:snoRNA